UACGUAGGCAGCAAGCGUUGUUCGGAGUUACUGGGCGUAAAGGGUGCGUAGGCGGCGCGGUAAGUCGGGUGUGAAAUCUUGGAGCUUAACUCCGAAACUGCAUUCGAUACUGCCGUGCUUGAGGACUGGAGAGGAGACUGGAAUUUACGGUGUAGCGGUGAAAUGCGUAGAUAUCGUAAGGAAGACCAGUGGCGAAGGCGGGUUGCUGGGCUGACACUGACGCUGAUGCGCGAAAGCCAGGGGAGGCGAACGGG
rnacentral:rRNA from 1 species